rnacentral:lncRNA from 1 species
UUAAAACUAUGAUAGAAAUGUAAAAUUUGAUGGCAAAACUACAGCAAGGAAAAAGAACUCCUAUGUAGUGAUGGUAGAACGUAUGAAUUUGCCGCGGCAAAAUUUGGUUCUCCCUAAGAAAACAUAAUGGAAAAACUAUGGUGGAACGAAUCUAAAUUUGCCGUUCACUGCAUAUUGAAAAUUGCCCUAGAAUAUCCCUACCAGUUCUGAACCAAAUCAAAAACAACAUAUCACAAAAAUACCAUGGUACAGAAUGGGGGUGAAAAUUGCCAUGACAUAUCUACUAGUGCACUGGGUCAUGGCAUGUCAUCUGUACUAGUCUACUGGGUCAUGGGAUGCAAUUGGGGGUGAGAAAUCUAAACACAAAAUUCGGAUCUGCCUCUACUGGGUCAUGGAACAUCAAUUUGCAGAUAAUCAAACUAACAAAAAUGAAAAAAAGAUGGGGGGUUGAGGAUGUUGCCACCUGCAGUGGAAGGAUCCAAAUGCCUUUUGCAGUUCGCCACCGUGGUGGUCAAGCUCGACCUGCGGCUGCGGCGUCACCUGGCGAACAACGACGAGCAUGGACUCCCUGCAGCCUUGCAGCAAAAACAUGAUGCGGAGGACCGCCACGCCCGUCAUCGAGUAGUGCGCCUCCACAAUCUUGAAGCCAUAGGGUGCGCUGNNN